rnacentral:rRNA from 1 species
GACGAACGCUGGCGGCGUGCCUAAUACAUGCAAGUCGAACGCAUUUUCUUUCACCUUAGCUUGCUACACCGACAGAAAAUGAGUUGCGAACGGGUGAGUAACACGUCGGUAACCUGCCCAUCAGCGUGGGAUAACACUUGGAAACAGGUGCUAAUACCGCAUAAUUCCAUUUACCGCAUGGUAAAUGGAUGUAGGGCGCUUUUACGUCACUGAUGGAUGGACCCGCGGUGCAUUAGGUAGUUGGGGGGUUAACGGGCUACCAAGGCUGAGAUGCAUGACCGAACCGGGAGGGGUAUCGGCCAACAUGGGAAUGAGAACAGGCCCCAACUCCUACGGGAGGCAGCAGUAGGGAAUCUUCGGCAAUGGACGGAAGUCUGACCGAGCAAAGGCGCGUGAGGGAAGAAGGGUUUCGGAUCGUAAAACUCUGUUGUUAGAGAAGAACAAGGAUGAGAGUGGAAAGCUCACCCCUUGACGGUAUCUAAUCAGAAAGCCACGGCUAACUACGUG